rnacentral:rRNA from 1 species
UACAGAGAGUGCAAACGUUGUUCGGAAUUACUGGGCUUGAAGCGCACGUAGGCGGCGUUGUAAGUGUCGGGUGAAAUCCCACGGCUCACCCGUGGAACUGCCCGGCAUACUGCGAUGCUAGAGUGUGGUAGGGGAGAGCGGAACUCCUGGUGGAGCGGUGAAAUGCGUAGAUAUCAGGAGGAACCCCGGUGGCGAAGGCGGCUCUCUGGGCCACAACUGACGCUGAGGUGCGAAAGCUAGGGGAGCAAACGGG